rnacentral:rRNA from 1 species
GACGAAGGGGGCUAGCGUUGUUCGGAAUUACUGGGCGUAAAGCGCGUGUAGGCGGUUUCCCUAGUCAGGUGUGAAAGCCUUGAGCUUAACUCAAGAAAUGCACUUGAUACUGGGCGACUAGAGGACCGGAGAGGAUAGUGGAAUUCCCAGUGUAGUGGUGAAAUACGUAGAGAUUGGGAAGAACACCAGUGGCGAAGGCGGCUAUCUGGACGGUUACUGACGCUAAGACGCGAAAGCGUGGGGAGCAAACAGG